rnacentral:rRNA from 1 species
AGUGAACGCUGGCGGCGUGCCUAAUACAUGCAAGUCGAACGGAGUGGCGCACGGGUGAGUAAUAUAUAGCUAAUCUGCCCCUUGCUGGAGGACAACAGUUAGAAAUGACUGCUAAUACUCCAUAGCAAGGGAUGGGACUAUAUCGUAUCAGCUAGUCGGUGGGGUAACGGCCUACCGAGGCUAUGACGCGUAACUGGUGUGAGAGGAGGAUCAGUCACAUUGGAACUGAGACACGGUCCAGACUCCUACGGGAGUGAGCAGUAGGGAAUAGUGCGCAAUGGGGGAAACCCUGACGCAGCUUCGGCGCGUAGAGUAUUACACUUUUCGGGGAGUAAACUCCUUUUGUUAGGGAAGCGGUACCUAACGAAUAAGCACCGGCUAACUCCGUGCCAGCAGCCGCGGUAAUUC